rnacentral:rRNA from 2 species
GUAGGUGACCUGCGGAAGGAUCAUUACUGGGUCACAGGGCGCUCCGGCGCCCGUCACCACCCCCUGCUUCCCGCCCCCUUUCGGCGCGACGGGGUCCCCUCGCGGGGGCCCCCUGCCGGAGCCCAAACCCUGAACGAACUUGCAGCCUGAGUAAAGAAGCAAAUAAUUAAAACUUUCAACAACGGAUCUCUUGGUUCUGGCAACGAUGAAGAACGCAGCGAAAUGCGAUAAGUAAUGUGAAUUGCAGAAUUCAGUGAAUCAUCGAAUCUUUGAACGCACAUUGCGCCCCCUGGUAUUCCGGGGGGCACACCUGUUCGAGCGCCAUUUCAACCCUCAAGCCCGGCUUGGUGAUGGGCCCCGCCCGCGGGCGGGCCCGAAACUCGCAGGCGUCACCGUCCUGGCCUCAAGCGUAGCAAAACCCUCGCUUGGAUGCCCGGGUGGCGGCCGCCCCGGAACGAUUUUUAUAUACAAGGUUGGCCUCGGAUCAGGUGGGGAUACCCGCUGAACUUAAGCAUAUCA